GAUGAACGCUGGCGGCGUGCCUAAUACAUGCAAGUCGAGCGAACGGACGAGAAGCUUGCUUCUCUGAUGUUAGCGGCGGACGGGUGAGUAACACGUGGAUAACCUACCUAUAAGACUGGGAUAACUUCUGGAAACCGUAGCUAAUACCGGAUAAUAUUUUGAACCGCAUGGUUCAAAAGUGAAAGACGGUCUUGCUUUCACUUAUAGAUGGAUCCGCGCUGCAUUUGCUAGUUGGUAAGGUAACGGCUUACCAAGGCAACGAUGCAUAGCCGACCUGAGAGGGUGAUCGGCCACACUGGAACUGAGACACGGACCAGACUCCUACGGGAGGCAGCAGUAGGGAAUCUUCCGCAAUGGGCGAAAGCCUGACGGAGCAACGCCGCGUGAGUGAUGAAGGUCUUCGGAUCGUAAAACUCUGUUAUUAGGGAAGAACAUAUGUGUAAGUAACUGUGCACAUCUUGACGGUACCUAAUCAGAAAGCCACGGCUAACUACGUG
rnacentral:rRNA from 1 species